ensembl:antisense Nudt12os nudix (nucleoside diphosphate linked moiety X)-type motif 12, opposite strand
ACUAGCUUCAGUAAAGCUGCUGUGUAAAUGGCAUUUAAAAUCACUGUUAUCACCACUGACAGAGAUGACGUCAGCUCUUUGCCACCUGAGUAAAUAAACAUUUAUAAGGUGCUGUAAGUCUGAAGAAUGUCACACUGCUCCAAUAGACUUCAUUUUCAGGCAAGAGUGAAAUAGGCAACCACAAGAACCCCGUCACCACAUUUGAUGAGUUGUCCAUUCUCUUCUCUAAUACAGGCUUUAGUUCAUUAUCAUCAUGGCAGCACGGAUGGUGCUGGAGCAGUAGCUGAGAGUUAUAUCCUCAUCCACGGGACCAGACAGACACUAGUCCUGGAAUGGAAUUUGGAAGCCUCAAAGUCUACCCCAACAUGGCCACACCUCCUAAUCCUUCUAAUCCUAUCGAAGACUUCCACUACCUGGAUAUUUUUGACCCUAGAUACUUUUUCCUUUAAAUUUGAUGGAGCUGUGAUCAUGCCUCUGACCUCUAGCCUUGAAAGAAGACGAGUUAUGCCUCUCAGGAGUGAUGCCUCAGGCACUUUGCAAGUCGGCUGGCAGGAUUAUUUCCCAGGCUGUGAAGUGAUGACCUUCUACCGAGAGUGAAUGUCUGCAGCGCACGUAAAUUCUACCAGCCAUGAUUGAGAGCCUUAGCUUUGUUACCUGCUCUAUGAAUCAGAGUCCAUUCUUUCUCUACAGCGGAUUGGUAAUUUAGUGCUGUAUUUAAAGCCACAUGUUAACACAUGUGCACAUGUGGGUUAAUUUACUGUUGCCCAUGAUUACAUUCUGCUUUCGUGCCUGACAUAAGGUCACUUCAGAGGUAAAUCUAGAAUUUUGGAAUAAAUGGUUGGAAUGAAG